rnacentral:lncRNA from 1 species
AAAUCGUGUGACAGCAGCAGCAGCAGCAGCAUCGCGAAUGGAGCAACGACGCCGAAUCGCCGGUCUUCCACAGGCGGUGGAGAUGGCGGCAGAACCAUGGUGGCGGAGGUGNUUUGGCUUUAAUUCCUCCACUUCCUCCCUGAAUUUCAGCCUGCAUUUAAUAGGGAAACAAUACACAAUUCAUUUCAGCAAUCUUCUCAUUGAGACCAAUUCAAUGGCAAUAGACAGCCACCGACACCAAGCAUUUGCAGGUGAAUACUAAACUCAGCUCUUCAUGCAUCAUACCAUCACAUACAUGUUGGAAUAGAAAUAUAGAGGUGUAAACAUUUAUAUAUGCUUAUGGACCCAGCAGUCACACGUAAAGAAAUCAGUUUGUAUAUAAAUCUUCUUAAAAUCAAAUAUACACACUCUUAUAUUCAAUUCAAAGAUCUAAUCUUUGAAUUGAUUUUAAUACUUUUGACUAUUGAUUCUAUUUUCAACACCUACACCACCCUACCUCUGUACCAUCUCCGUAGAGUGCUCAAGUGUUCAGCCAACAACCAUUCCCUCUUAGUCUUAAACCUCCAGCCAGCAAUCUCACUUCAUUCUCUCCCAUUCCACACUAAGGACUUUUGAGAGAGAAACGGGAGAAUCCAUUGCUGCUGCAAGACUUCAAAUGAGUUUGUCUCCACAAGAAUCAAUAGCAACACAGCAGCCACCCAACAGUUUGAACAUAUUCAAGGUAUUUUACUAUCUCGAGUUUCAAUCCAGUUCGUAUUUAUGUCAACAUGCUCAAGCUAUGGCAUUACAACUAUGUUGAUUCAUUCAUUGCUACUUCACGCUCUAGAACCUAGCAGUAUCACCAAAUAUGCUUUCAUGAGCAAGUGACAGUCUAUAUGUAGAUUUAAUCCGCGUUUUAAACGAGCUUUAUGUGUAAACAAAACGAGAAAGAUUGCACCUUGCUUAAUCCGUUAUGAAUCGAUAGAAAGGAGAAUGAGACUAAGAGAACUUAGCUUAAGAAUAGGGCCGGCUGCCUGUUCGGUUGAGCCCAGACGACGACGACGAUGGCGGCAGCUCCCGCUGCCUCGGCAGAAAUCGUGUGACAGCAGCAGCAGCAGCAGCAUCGCGAAUGGAGCAACGACGCCGAAUCGCCGGUCUUCCACAGGCGGUGGAGAUGGCGGCAGAACCAUGGUGGCGGAGGUGGAAAAGAAAUAGGGCUCGACUCCCUGCCCACCUUGACGACCGAAUCGAGACCUGAACGGCUCGGAGGAGAUGGCGAGACGACGCCGGCUUCGCCGAUUGACGGCCAGAGAACCGCGACGGCAGCAGCGGCGAUAAUUGUAAGCCGAAAUUAGGGCUCGAUUUGGGGCUCUGCUUGUACAGCGGUGAAGAGAGGGUUUAGGGCGAGGAGGC